rfam:Hyphopichia burtonii NRRL Y-1933 unplaced genomic scaffold HYPBTscaffold_1, whole genome shotgun sequence.
GGGCGUGUGGUCUAGUGGUAUGAUUCUCGCUUUGGGCGACUGUUCAGUACACUGAACGGAACAUCACUAAGCAUGCGAGAGGCCCUGGGUUCAAUUCCCAGCUCGCCCC